GAUGAACGCUAGCGCUAGGCUUAACACAUGCAAGUCGAGGGGUAACGUGUUGGAAGCUUGCUUCCGAUGACGACGACCGGCGGAUGGGUGCGUAACGCGUAUGCAACUUGCCUCACAGUGGAGAAUAACCCGGAGAAAUCCGGACUAAUACUCCAUACACUCUUAAGUACGCCUGUACAUGAGAGGAAAGAUUUAUCGCUGUGAGAUAGGCAUGCGUCCUAUUAGGUAGUUGGUGAGGUAACGGCUCACCAAGCCGACGAUAGGUAGGGGUGCUGAGAGGCAGAUCCCCCACAUUGGGACUGAGACACGGCCCAAACUCCUACGGGAGGCAGCAGUGAGGAAUAUUGGUCAAUGGAGGAAACUCUGAACCAGCCAAGUCGCGUGAAGGAAGAAUGUCCUAAGGAUUGUAAACUUCUUUAGCGAGCGAGUAAGGACUUCCACGUGAUGGGAGUUUGAAAGUAGCUCGAGAAUAAGUAUCGGCUAACUCCGUG
rnacentral:rRNA from 1 species